GGAAUGUGGCUCAGUGGUACAGUGCUUGCCUAGCACAUGUGAGGCACUGGGUUCAAUCCUCAGCACCA
rnacentral:tRNA from 1 species